AUUGAACGCUGGCGGAAUGCUUUACACAUGCAAGUCGAACGGCAGCACGGAGAGCUUGCUCUCUGGUGGCGAGUGGCGAACGGGUGAGUAAUAUAUCGGAACGUAUCCAAUAAUGGGGGAUAACGAGUCGAAAGAUUCGCUAAUACCGCAUACGCCCUACGGGGGAAAGCAGGGGAUCGUAAGACCUUGCGUUAAUGGAGCGGCCGAUAUCUGAUUAGCUUGUUGGUGAGGUAAAGGCUCACCAAGGCGACGAUCAGUAGCUGGUUUGAGAGAACGACCAGCCACACUGGAACUGAGACACGGUCCAGACUCCUACGGGAGGCAGCAGUGGGGAAUUUUGGACAAUGGGGGCAACCCUGAUCCAGCCAUUCCGCGUGAGUGAAGAAGGCCUUCGGGUUGUAAAGCUCUUUCGCAAGGGAAGAAAACUUAUGAUCGAAUAAAUCAUGAGGUUGACGGUACCUUGAUAAGAAGCACCGGCUAACUACGUGCCAGCAGCCGCGGUAAUACGUAGGGUGCGAGCGUUAAUCGGAAUUACUGGGCGUAAAGCGUGCGCAGGCGGUUUUGUAAGUCGGAUGUGAAAUCCCCGGGCUCAACCUGGGAACUGCGUUCGAAACUGCAAGGCUAGAGUGUGUCAGAGGGGGGUAGAAUUCCACGUGUAGCAGUGAAAUGCGUAGAGAUGUGGAGGAAUACCAAUGGCGAAGGCA
rnacentral:rRNA from 1 species